rnacentral:misc_RNA from 1 species
AUCCUAUUUCUAAUUUUAUUUCUUGUCUCCUUCUUAUAGAGCCUUUGUUUUGUCUAUUUCUUCUAUUUCUAUGCCACAGGGUUGGAAGGAAACAUGUCUUGAUCCAAAAUGGGAAGCAACUAUGGUAGAGGAGAUAAGAGCUUUGACAAAAAAUGAGACAUGGGAUAUUGUUUCUCUUCCAUCUGGGAAGAAACUAGUGGGAUGCAAGUGGGUGUUCACAGUUAAACGUAAUGUAGAUAGUUCUAUUGAAAGGUAUAAGGUCAGGUUAGUAGCUAAAGGCUUCACUUAGACAUAGGAAGUGGAUUAUUAUGAGACUUUCCCUUAUUACAAAAAUGAAUACCAUUAGAAUCUUGUUGUCAUGUGCAGCAAAUCUUUAGUGGGACUUACAGUAAUUUGAUGUAAAGAAUGCUUUUUUGCAUGGAGACUUAGAGGAGGAAGUGUACAUGGAGAUUCCUCUUGGAUUUGAUGAUGAUAAAAUCAAAGGAAAAGUUUGUAGAUUGAAAAAGGCAUUAUAUGGUCAGAAGCAGUCACCUAGAGCAUGGUUUGAU